CCUUCGAUAGCUCAGUUGGUAGAGCGGAGGACUGUAGAGGUUCCGUUGACAUCCUUAGGUCGCUGGUUCGAAUCCGGCUCGAAGGA
rnacentral:tRNA from 1 species